UAGUCCACGCCCUAAACGAUGAAUGUUAGUCGUCGGGUAGCUAGUCUAUUCGGUGAUGCAGCUAACGCAUUAAAUAUUCCGCCUGGGGAGUACGGUCGCAAGAUUAAAACUCAAAGGAAUAGACGGGGACCCGCACAAGUGGUGGAGCAUGUGGUUUAAUUCGAAGAUACGCGAAGAACCUUACCUAGCCUUGACAUAUAUUAGAACACUUUAGAGAUAGAGUGGUGCCUUCGGGAGCUUUUAUACAGGUGCUGCACGGCUGUCGUCAGCUCGUGUCGUGAGAUGUUGGGUUAAGUCCCGCAACGAGCGCAACCCUCGUUCUUAGUUGCCAUCAUUAAGUUGGGCACUCUAGGGAGACUGCCGGUGACAAACCGGNGGAAGGUGGGGAUGACGUCAGGUCAGUAUGGCCCUUACGCCUAGGGCUGCACACGUACUACAUGCCCAGCACAAUGAGAACCGAGACCGCGAGGUGGAGGAAAUCUAUAAAACUGGGCCCAGUUCGGA
rnacentral:rRNA from 1 species